AGAAUCAACGCUGGCGGCGUGCCUAACACAUGCAAGUCGAACGAGAAAGUGGAGCAAUCCAUUAGUAAAGUGGCGCACGGGUGAGUAACACGUGACUAACCUACCCUUGAGUGGGGGAUAACCUAGAGAAAUCUGGGCUAAUACCGCAUAAUACCUUCGGGUCAAAGGAGCAAUUCGCUUAAGGAGGGGGUCGCGGCCGAUUAGUUAGUUGGCGGGGUAAUGGCCCACCAAGACUAUGAUCGGUAUCCGGCCUGAGAGGGCGCACGGACACACUGGAACUGAAACACGGUCCAGACUCCUACGGGAGGCAGCAGUGGGGAAUUUGCGCAAUGGGGGAAACCCUGACGCAGCAACGCCGCGUGGAGGAUGAAGCCCCUUGGGGCUAAACUCCUUUCGAUCGGGACGAUAAUGACGGUACCGAGAGAAGAAGCCCCGGCUAACUUCGUGCCAGCAGCCGC
rnacentral:rRNA from 1 species